AUACGUAGGGGGCGAGCGUUGUCCGGAAUGAUUGGGCGUAAAGGGCGCGUGGGCGGCCCGGUAAGUCUGGAGUGAAAGUCCUGUUUUUAAGAUGGGAAUUGCUUUGGAUACUGUCGGGCUUGAGUGCAGGAGAGGUAAGUGGAAUUCCCAGUGUAGCGGUGAAAUGCGUAGAGAUUGGGAGGAACACCAGUGGCGAAGGCGACUUACUGGACUGUAACUGACGCUGAGGAGCGAAAGUGUGGGGAGCAAACAGGAUUAGAUACCCUGGUAGUCCACACUGUAAACGAUGAAUGCUAGGUGUAGGGGGUAUCGACCCCUUCUGUGCCGCAGUCAACACAAUAAGCAUUCCGCCUGGGGAGUACGGCCGCAAGGUUGAAACUCAAAGGAAUUGACGGGG
rnacentral:rRNA from 1 species